GCAAGUCGAACGGUAACAGGAAGAAGCUUGCUUCUUUGCUGACGAGUGGCGGACGGGUGAGUAAUGUCUGGGAAACUGCCUGAUGGAGGGGGAUAACUACUGGAAACGGUAGCUAAUACCGCAUAACGUCGCAAGACCAAAGAGGGGGACCUUCGGGCCUCUUGCCAUCGGAUGUGCCCAGAUGGGAUUAGCUAGUAGGUGGGGUAACGGCUCACCUAGGCGACGAUCCCUAGCUGGUCUGAGAGGAUGACCAGCCACACUGGAACUGAACACGGUCCAACUCCUACGGGAGGAGCAGGGGGAUAUUGCCCAUGGGCGCAGCCUGAUGCACCAGCCCCGUGUAUGAAAAAAGGCUUCGGGUUGAAAGUACUUCACGGGGAGGAGGGAAGAAAGUUAUACCUUU
rnacentral:rRNA from 1 species